AGUGAACGCUGGCGGUAGGCCUAACACAUGCAAGUCGAACGGCAGCACAGUAAGAGCUUGCUCUUACGGGUGGCGAGUGGCGGACGGGUGAGGAAUACAUCGGAAUCUACUUUUUCGUGGGGGAUAACGUAGGGAAACUUACGCUAAUACCGCAUACGAUCUACGGGUGAAGGCAGGGGAUCUUCGGACCUUGCGCGAUUGAAUGAGCCGAUGUCGGAUUAGCUAGUUGGCGGGGUAAAGGCCCACCAAGGCGACGAUCCGUAGCCGGUCUGAGAGGAUGAUCAGCCACACUGGAACUGAGACACGGUCCAGACUCCUACGGGAGGCAGCAGUGGGGAAUAUUGGACAAUGGGCGCAAGCCUGAUCCAGCCAUACCGCGUGGGUGAAGAAGGCCUUCGGGUUGUAAAGCCCUUUUGUUGGGAAAGAAAAGCAGCAGGUUAAUACCCCGCUGUUCUGACGGUACCCAAAGAAUAAGCACCGGCUAACUUCGUG
rnacentral:rRNA from 1 species